rnacentral:rRNA from 1 species
UUUACACAUGCAAGUCGAACGGGCUUAAAGAGCUUGCUCUUUAAGUUAGUGGCGAACGGGUGAGUAAUAUAUCGGAACGUAUCCAAUAAUGGGGGAUAACUAAUCGAAAGGUUGGCUAAUACCGCAUACGCCCUACGGGGGAAAGCUAGGGAUCUUCGGACCUGGCGUUAAUGGAGCGGCCGAUAUCUGAUUAGCUAGUUGGUGAGGUAAGAGCUCACCAAGGCGACGAUCAGUAGCUGGUCUGAGAGGACGACCAGCCACACUGGAACUGAGACACGGUCCAGACUCCUACGGGAGGCAGCAGUGGGGAAUUUUGGACAAUGGGCGAAAGCCUGAUCCAGCCAUUCCGCGUGAGUGAAGAAGGCCUUCGGGUUGUAAAGCUCUUUCGCAAGGGAAGAACACUUAGUCUCUAACAUAGACUGAGGUUGACGGUACCUUGAUAAGAAGCACCGGCUAACUACGUGCCAGCAGCCGCGGUAAUACGUAGGGUGCGAGCGUUAAUCGGAAUUACUGGGCGUAAAGCGUGCGCAGGCUGUUCUGUAAGUCAGAUGUGAAAUCCCCGAGCUCAACUUGGGAACUGCGUUUGAAACUACAGGACUAGAAUAUGUCAGAGGGGGGUAGAAUUCCACGUGUAGCAGUGAAAUGCGUAGAGAUGUGGAGGAAUACCAAUGGCGAAGGCAGCCCCCUGGGAUAAUAUUGACGCUCAUGCACGAAAGCGUGGGGAGCAAACAGGAUUAGAUACCCUGGUAGUCCACGCCCUAAACGAUGUCUACUAGU